rnacentral:rRNA from 1 species
GGUGAACGCUGGCGGUAGGCCUAACACAUGCAAGUCGAACGGCAGCACAGUAAGAGCUUGCUCUUACGGGUGGCGAGUGGCGGACGGGUGAGGAAUACAUCGGAAUCUACUUUUUCGUGGGGGAUAACGUAGGGAAACUUACGCUAAUACCGCAUACGACCUACGGGUGAAAGCAGGGGAUCUUCGGACCUUGCGCGAUUCAAUGAGCCGAUGUCGGAUUAGCUAGUUGGCGGGGUAAAGGCCCACAAGGCGACGAUCCGUAGCUGGUCUGAGAGGAUGAUCAGCCACACUGGAACUGAGACACGGUCCAGACUCCUACGGGAGGCAGCAGUGGGGAAUAUUGGACAAUGGGCGCAAGCCUGAUCCAGCCAUACCGCGUGGGUGAAGAAGGCCUUCGGGUUGUAAAGCCCUUUUGUUGGGAAAGAAAAGCAGCAGGUUAAUACCCCGCUGUUCUGACGGUACCCAAAGAAUAAGCACCGGCUAACUUCGUG